GUGGAAUGCGAUGGACAUUAUUACCCAAGUACAUAUAUGAAGAUACAAAGGAUGUGACUCUACUUUGUGUACAACCAGAGAUAUGAAAAAUGGUGCUCUGUAUAUGUAACAUGAAUUGUGAUGCAUUUUGCUGUCUUGUAUAACAAAUCAAAAAUUUUUAAAAAGGGUCAUAUUGCAGACUCUGGUAUGCAAAAAUGUUAAUACCACUUCCCUAAAAUCAAAUUUAUCUAGAAUGACCAUUGAUUCAAGUGAGUAGUAAUUUCAGUCUAAGUUUGCAUUAGGUCGAGGUUCUCUUGAGGCAUGUCCUCAGGAGAAUUCACCUUCAAGAGAAUAAAUCAGUCCAUACCUCAUGCAGGAGGAGAACACGGGCCUACUUCCCUUCUUAGGAAUGGAAAACUCCGGAGCAAAGCCCGAUUCCUAGGAACUGUCCUGUCUCAUCAUCAAUAGUGUUGAUGGAUGCCAAUAAGUAAACCUCAGUGCCAGUCUUGAAGCCAAACCAAUAUUUCUGAGGCCCGAGGCCCACCAUGAAGAGCCUGGGUUAUUAUAUAUACCCCACCCCCUUUAGCAGCUUUCUGUUGAGAUCUUUUAAAUUCUCUUUGAAGGUUUCAGAAUCCAAAUCUUGUUUCUUCCUCAUCUUCAUGGAUUCCCUCACCCAUGGUGGGUUGAAUUUUCUUGGUAUUCUCUCCUGGAAUUGGAACCCUCAAGCAGAAAAAGGGUGGGUGGUAGUGCAUUUUGUAAAUCCAUUCUCAUGCCUUUGGCCUGGAAUCAAAUCUCUAAUUGAAAAAUUAGUCUCUGAGGGGCCCUAAUUACCUCUUCAGAUUGAUGCCUUGUGCAAAAUUUUGUUAUUUCCCAGCCUCCGAAUUCCAACAGGUUCCUUUUUAUCUCCAGUUUGUAGUCAAGGAUGUCUAUCCUUCUGGGCUCUGAGCAACUCUGCAUACAUGGUGAUAUUUUCUGUCUCUCUCUCUCUCUCUUUUUUUCUUUUUGGUACCAGAGAUUGAAUCCAGGGGCACUUAACCUCUGAGCCACUUUCCCAGUCCCUUUUUAAAGAUUUUUUAUUUAGAGACAGUCUCACUGAGUUGCUUAAGGUCUUGCUAAAUUAUUGAGGCGGGCUUUGAACUUGAGAUCUUCCGGCCUCAGCCUCCUGAGCUGCUGGGAUGACAAGCGUGUGCCAGAUAAAUGUUUUCUUAAAAGUGAUAAAAUAUGCAGC
rnacentral:lncRNA from 1 species